UGGCGGACGGGUGAGUAACACGUACCUUACCUGCCCAGAAGCGGGGGACAACAUUUGGAAACAGAUGCUAAUACCGCAUAGCAACGUUGUUCGCAUGAACAACGCUUAAAAGAUGGCUUCUCGCUAUCACUUCUGGAUGGACCUGCGGUGCAUUAGCUUGUUGGUGGGGUAACGGCCUACCAAGGCGAUGAUGCAUAGCCGAGUUGAGAGACUGAUCGGCCACAAUGGGACUGAGACACGGCCCAUACUCCUACGGGAGGCAGCAGUAGGGAAUCUUCCACAAUGGGCGCAAGCCUGAUGGAGCAACACCGCGUGAGUGAAGAAGGGUUUCGGCUCGUAAAGCUCUGUUGUUAAAGAAGAACACGUAUGAGAGUAACUGUUCAUACGUUGACGGUAUUUAACCAGAAAGUCACGGCUAACUACGUGCCAGCAGCCGCGGUAAUACGUAGGUGGCAAGCGUUAUCCGGAUUUAUUGGGCGUAAAGAGAGUGCAGGCGGUUUUCUAAGUCUGAUGUGAAAGCCUUCGGCUUAACCGGAGAAGUGCAUCGGAAACUGGAUAACUUGAGUGCAGAAGAGGG
rnacentral:rRNA from 1 species